rnacentral:tRNA from 1 species
CAGAGAGUAGUUUAAUUAAAAUAUUAAUUUUGGGGAUUAAUGAUAAAGUGUAAUCUUUUUCUCUGA